CUGUGGGGCCAAUGCACUAUUGUUGACAUGCUGCAGGUGAGAUCACAAUGCAGGCAUUCCUAUCUCCUCAGGUGAAACUGCAAAGCCAGACCUUCGCUGCCAUUCAGGCCUUGAGGUGCCCACAGGGUAGGAUCUUAAAGGAAGUCACUUCACAGAAAUGUGUAAGAGAUGAAAGCACAAGGCAAGCUGCUGGAGCUGGAGGAUAUCUUGCCUCCUGGGAUGCUGGAAUGUAUGUUCCAGAGAGAAAUGGAUACAUCUAUAGAAUCUAGAUUUCAAAUAUCACUCCCAGCUGUAACCAAUCAAACACAGUCCUUUGCAAGAUCAGGGAGUGUGGAACCAAUGUCACCUGCUACCCAAUCUGCCUCUUCUAACCACUUUACCUCACCCCCUUUCCAGUGUCAGAUAUAAACACCUGGAACCACCUCUUGACUAAGAUUAGCUUGAGAAACAAAGUAGUAUAGAGCAGAGGAGAGAGAAGGGUAUAAAAAGCUAUGCUCUAAAGCCAACUAGAAGAUUUAGUUUUAUGACUUUCACUGAAAUUAAUAGUAUGCAGGGAUUUCAUGCUAGUCUUUCAAAGUUUAAGGGGGAGAGAUGUCCAGAUACUCCUUGAGAUUCAGCAUACUUGAGUUGCAGUGUUCUUGUUUCCUGGGAUUGCUAUUGUAUACCCACAUUCCUCUCUCUGGCUUUUGGACAGGAGAUUCUGGCUUUCAGGAUGGCUGUUAGCUACUGUUCCUACAACUACUACUAGAAGUAGGCCUGAAACAAAGCCCCAAAUCAGAAUUUGUGCCAGCUUUGUAAAGCAUGCAUCCAGACACAGAUCUGAAUGUCACAACUGGACCUAUCUUACAGCUGGCCAAACCACCGUCUCAGGUCUGACCAUGUGAACUAUGGGAAAGUUUCCUUGUACUCCACCAUCCAUCUCUUGUCUUAGAGUGUAAGCUCUUUGGAGCAGAGACUUUUUUGUCCUGUGUUUGUACAGCGCAUCGCACAAUGAGGGCCUGAUCCAUGCCUAGUGCUCCGAGACACUAUGACAAUAUAAAUAACGUUUCCAUCCGGACCUAGCUCAGCCCCUUUUCCACUUAGAAGAGACAUUUGCCCAAAGACAGAAUUGGUGUGGUGUAAGAGGUCCAGGCCACCCAGAGGAUUCGGGGGGCCUGGGGCAAAGCUGCAGCACUUGUACUCACCCAGGGGCGGUCUGGGUCUUUGGCCCCACUUGCACCCCCCCCCCCACGGCCAUGAAGAGGUCAUCUACUCAUGCUGCUUAUUAAGUCCUCAUCCUCUUCUGUGAUAUCACCACUGGUUGCUAUGGCAGUGACUAAGAUGUUCUAAACAUCAAUGAACAAUAAUAAGCAGCAGCCCACUAGUGCCUAUUGCUGGUAUCAGAUCCCUGUCACACCUGCCUAAAGGUGUCAGAUGACCUCAUUCUUCUGAGCUGAGGUGACCAGGAAAACCCAAGGGUAAUCGGUAUUUUUAUAUCAGUCUAGAGAGUUAAACCCUUUUUGCUGCAAAGCUCAUCUUCUUGUACUGUAACCAUCAGAGUAAGAUGUCACUGAUGAGUGAUACAGUUCUCCAGGGAGAGCCACUGAAUAGUCCUAAACUUCUACCAGCUUGGGGAAUCAAGGGACAUCAUAUUUGGAAUUUUUGCCUGCUAGGUAGCUGUGAUACUUAUUCUACACCUCUCCCAAGGUACCAAGAAGCUGGCCAGACCCAUCCAUAGGUCAUAAAAAGAAUGAGCACUUUCUAAAGAUCCUGAAACGAUUGCAAACAAGAAAGUAACUUCAGUCUUUCCAUUGCAGUCCAGAAAAGCAAACCCUUCAGGAGAAAAAAAAUGGAAACACACGAAACACAAAUUGAAUACACUCAGAAUGUAAUGAAAGGAAAGUCUUUUUUCCAUCGUAGUUAAUGUUUUAAAUUAGAAUGUUGAUAUACAAGCUGCAAAACAGAUGGGGACAGUACUUUUUAAUAAUUUGUUACUGAAUGUAAGGCUCAUGAAUGGGAGGAACUAAUAAUAACAUUGGCUAGAACUAGACUUACUGUAGACAGGCGCUAUGUUAGUUUCCCCAGCGUAGUUCUGCCAAAACAUCUCAGUCCCAACAUGCAGCGUCCCCUGCUACUCCAGUUCAGGUGUUUUCCCAUUCCACCUCAGUUCUUUCAAUGCCCUCCAGUCUUGACCCACAAUACACCCUAGUUUGUUCCUCAGCUCCCUUAUUGCUCAUGUGCACCUCAUGUCUGCCUCCUGUUCUGGAGAUCCUCCACACAGCUUUGCCAAAUGGACCUCAUCAGGAACCUAUUCAGUCCUGAUCCUCUGGCUUUUCCAGAUGUGACCCUCUCCCCUUCAGCAGGGACCAACAACUGUGGCAACGUGUAGGGUCAUUUGAAGUAUGCAUUCAAAUAGGCAAAGAUGCUGCAUAUUUCUAGGAUAAAGGAUUUUGAAGGCCACCUUGAGUUUUGGAGGCUGUGGCUGAUAAUAGCUUCUGAUUCAGAUAAAUUACCAUUUACAUAUCUAAUAUUCCCUUGAGAGAAUGUUGUGAUGGCAUCAUGAUGCUACACAGAAAUGCUACAGUGAGGGAACUACAGAAAAAAAAUCAUGGAUUAAAUGGACCCACCCACCUACUUGCAUUUUUAAUGCUAUGCCAUGCCAAAUCCCUUUGUUUUUUAUAUGACUGUAUCUAACUAGAAAAAUGUCUAAUGCCCCCACAAUCACCACCACAAAAGCUCAACAGACCAUGUGUGUGCAAACUUGUACUAACAAACAAAUAAAAAAAUAAAACC